GCAGGGGUAGCCAAGUCUGGUCAAAGGCGCAGGAUUCAGGGUCCUGUCCCGUUGUGGGUUCGUGGGUUCAAAUCCCACCCCCUGCA
rnacentral:tRNA from 1 species